UAAGUACAACAUCUGCGGGUUGUAAUUUAAGGUGGUGCUUGUUACCCCCUUGUUUCACGUAGUUACAGAGUAAGUACAACAUCUGCGGGCUGUAAUUUAAGGUGGUGCUUGUUACCCCCUUGUUUCACGUAGUUACAAAGUAAGAACAACAUCUGCGGGUUGUAAUUUAAGGUUGUGCUUGUUACCCCCUUGUUUCACGUAGUUACAGGGUAAGUACAACAUCUGCGGGCUGUAAUUUAAGGUGGUGCUUGUUACCCCCUUGUUUCACGUAGUUACAGAGUAAGUACAACAUCUGCGGGUUGUAAUUUAAGGUUGUGCUUGUUACCCCCUUGUUUCACGUAGUUACAGGGUAAGUACAACAUCUGCGGGCUGUAAUUUAAGGUGGUGCUUGUUACCCCCUUGUUUCACGUAGUUACAGAGUAAG